GACGAACGCUGGCGGCGUGCUUAACACAUGCAAGUCGAACGGAAAGGCCCUGCUUUUGUGGGGUGCUCGAGUGGCGAACGGGUGAGUAACACGUGAGUAACCUGCCCUUGACUUUGGGAUAACUUCAGGAAACUGGGGCUAAUACCGGAUAGGAGCUCCUGCUGCAUGGUGGGGGUUGGAAAGUUUCGGCGGUUGGGGAUGGACUCGCGGCUUAUCAGCUUGUUGGUGGGGUAGUGGCUUACCAAGGCUUUGACGGGUAGCCGGCCUGAGAGGGUGACCGGCCACAUUGGGACUGAGGUACGGCCCAGACUCCUACGGGAGGCAGCAGUGGGGAAUAUUGCACAAUGGGCGGAAGCCUGAUGCAGCAGCGCCGCGUGCGGGAUGACGGCCUUCGGGUUGUAAACCGCUUUCGCCUGUGACGAAGCGUGAGUGACGGUAAUGGGUAAAGAAGCACCGGCUAACUACGUG
rnacentral:rRNA from 1 species